CGUCACUUCCUGUUAUUCUUUUCUCUCCCUACUCCCUCCCGCGUGGUUCGCUCUGGACCCGCAUUUGGGGCGUGUCUGCUUCCUCCUCCGUGUCAGAUGAGGCGCAGAGAGGUGAAGCCGCUUCUUGAGCUGGUGAGUGACAGCCAGAUGCGCUUUCUAAAGCACGUUGCCCUCAGAAAAGGAGAGCCAGAGGAUGAAAACGGCUCUAGAGGGACGAAUACCCGCUGUGUGCGAAGCCUAAGUGCUGAAGAGGAGCUGAAGGAGUCGAGGCACAAGCUUGGACCGGGCAUAGAUGUUAGGCCGGUGGUUCCAAGAGCCUCUUGCGGCUCGUGCCCCCGUUACUUGGGCCGGGGCAGGGGGGGGGGGAGUUGCAGCAGAAGAAACAGCAGCCCGGGACUCCAGAGAUCUGGGACCCCUCGAUCUCUCCAGGGCUUGGGCAAGUCGCUAUGUUUUUGGGUCUCAGUUUCCCCAUUUGCAAAAUGGAAAUAACUACCUCUGUCUGCCAACAUGGAAGCAUUGCUUCGAGGAUCUGGCAAGGUGGUAUGGAUGAGGCUGCCCUGGGGACUCCAUCGCGGAGCAUGAGGAGCCCCUUAAGCUCGGCUUGCUUACUCCAGGGGAGGGGAGGGCAGGACUCCAGUGAGAGUUCUUGUCCUUCUUUCUUCCUUUCCUACCUCUUAUUUUUAUCUUUAUUAUUUGACAAUGUCCUUGUAAGGUGAUGCAAGCAAUGCUGGAAUAUUUUAAAUAGAAAUAAAAAAUUCCAUGUGCUCCCCUGUGCCCUUUCAUCCUACUCUGCAGAGAAACAGCCACUGUGUGUGGCUUAGCACACCUCCUUCCAGGCUUUAAAUAAACAAAACCCAUAACGUA